rnacentral:rRNA from 1 species
UACGAAGGGUGCAAACGUUGCUCGGAAUUAUUGGGCGUAAAGCGCACGUAGGCGGCAUUGCAAGUCGGAUGUGAAAUCUUAUGGCUUAACCAUAAAAGUGCAUCCGAAACUGCAGUGCUUGAGUACUUAAGAGGAUCGCGGAAUUCCCGGUGUAGAGGUGAAAUUCGUAGAUAUCGGGAGGAACACCAGUGGCGAAGGCGACUAUCUGGCUGACAACUGACGCUGAAACUCGAAAGCAUGGGGAGCAAACAGG